GUCAAGCUAAGAAGGGCGCAGGGCGAAUGCCUUGGCACUGGGAGGCGAAGAAGGACGUGGUAAGCUGCGAAAAGCUACGGGGAGCCGCAAACAGGCGUUGAUCCGUAGAUGUCCGAAUGGGGAAACCCACCUGGAGGCAAGUCCAGGUAUCGCAUAGUGAAUACAUAGCUAUGCGAGGUCAACCGCCUGAACUGAAACAUCUAAGUAGGGCGAGGAAGAGAAAUCAAACGAGAUUCCGAAAGUAGUGGCGAGCGAAAUCGGAAGAGGCCAAACCAGAGGUAGAAAUACUUCUGGGGUUGUGGACUGCAUUUAAGAUCGCGCAAGUCUAACUGAACGACAUGGGAAGGUCGGCCAGAGAGGGUGAGAGCCCCGUAAGUGAAAGAUGAGCGCGCUGAGCAGGAUCCAGAGUACUGCGGGACACGAGGAAUCCCGUGGGAAGCCGGGGGGACCACCCUCCAAGCCUAAAUACUACCCAGUGACCGAUAGCGUAUAGUACUGUGAAGGAAAGGUGAAAAGAACCCCGGGAGGGGAGUGAAAUAGAACCUGAAACCCUGUGCCUACAAGCACAUAGAGCACGUCAAAGUGUGAUAUGGUACUUUUUGUAGAACGGUCCGGCGAGUGUAUGUACGUAGCGAGGUUAAGGACUAGAGGUCUGGAGCCGAAGGGAAACCGAGUCUGAACAGGGCGAAUUAGUUGCGUGUAUACGACCCGAAACCGGGUGACCUAUCCAUGUCCAGGUUGAAGUUGGGGUAAGACCCAAUGGAGGACCGAACCGACCCCUGUUGAAAAAGUGGCGGAUGAGGUGUGGAUAGCGGAGAAAUUCCAAUCGAACCCGGAUAUAGCUGGUUCUCCCCGAAAUAGCUUUAGGGCUAGCCUUAUGUUAGAUUAUCGGAGGUAAAGCACUGAAUGGGCUAGGGGCCGAGAGGUUACUGAACCCUAUCAAACUAAGAAUGCCGAAUAAUCGAUGCAUAGGAGUCAGACUAUGGGAGAUAAGUUUCAUAGUCAAAAGGGAAACAGCCCAGACCCACAGCUAAGGUCCCUAAAUAGAUUUAAGUGGAAAAGGAUGUGGGGGUGCACAGACAACCAGGAUGUUGGCUUAGAAGCAGCCAUACAUUAAAAGAGUGCGUAAUAGCUCACUGGUCGAGUGCCCCCGCGCCGAAAAUGUAACGGGGCUAAAAUCUAUACCGAAGCUUGGGCAUUGUAUUUAUACAAUGGGUAGGGGAGCGUCGUAUGCGGGGAGAAGCCAUAGCGGAAGCGGUGGUGGACUGCAUACGAGUGAGAAUGCCGGAAUGAGUAGCGAGAAUUGUGUGAGAAUCACAAUGGCCGAAAACCUAAGGUUUCUGGAGGAAGGUUCGUCCGCUCCAGGUUAGUCGGGAGCUAAGGCGAGGCCGAAAGGCGUAGUCGAUGCACACACGGUAGAGAUUCCGUGACCACCGAAAGAUUUAAGCAGAGUGACACUCUGAAAGGGCAUGACCCGGGCGCUGGUAGACCCGGGCGUAAGGGACUGAAAAUUAGUAGGGAAGCAUGCUUAGACGGAGGCGAGAAAAGCUCUGAGGUAUAUAUGAGGUGCCCGUACCGCAAACCGACACAGGUAGGUAGGAAGAGGAUUCUAAGGCCAACGGGAGAAGGGUUGUUAAGGAACUCGGCAAAAUGACCCCGUAACUUAGGGAUAAGGGGUGCUCAUGGAGACAUGAGCCGCAGAGAAUAGAUCCAGGCGACUGUUUAGCAAAAACACAGGUCUCUGCUAAAUCGAAAGAUGAAGUAUAGGGGCUGACACCUGCCCGGUGCUGGAAGGUUAAGGAGAUGAGUGAGAGCUUUGACCCGAAGCCCCAGUGAACGGCGGCCGUAACUAUAACGGUCCUAAGGUAGCGAAAUUCCUUGUCAGGUAAGUUCUGACCCGCACGAAUGGUGUAACGAUCUGGAUGCUGUCUCAACAACCCACCCGGCGAAAUUGUAGUACCGGUGAAGAUGCCGGUUACCCGCGACAAGACGGAAAGACCCCAUGGAGCUUUACUGCAGCCUGAUAUUGGAUUUCGGUAUUACAUGUACAGGAUAGGUGGGAGACUGGGAAGCAUAGGCGUCAGCUUAUGUGGAGUCGACCUUGGGAUACCACUCUUGUAGUGCUGGAAUUCUAACCUGCAGCCGUGAAACCGGCUGGGGGACAAUGUCAGGUGGGCAGUUUGACUGGGGCGGUCGCCUCCUAAAGAGUAUCGGAGGCGCUCAAAGGUUAGCUCAGCACGGACGGAAACCGUGCCAGAGAGUGUAAACGCAAAAGCUAGCCUAACUGCGAGACUGACAAGUCGAGCAGUAACGAAAGUUGGAGUUAGUGAUCCGGCGGUAUGUGAGUGGAAAUGCCGUCGCUCAACGGAUAAAAGCUACCCUGGGGAUAACAGGCUGAUCUCCCCCAAGAGUCCACAUCGACGGGGAGGUUUGGCACCUCGAUGUCGGCUCAUCGCAUCCUGGGGCUGAAUUCGGUCCCAAGGGUUUGGCUGUUCGCCAAUUAAAGCGGUACGCGAGCUGGGUUCAGAACGUCGUGAGACAGUUCGGUCCCUAUCUGUCGUGGGCGCAGGAUAUUUGAGAGGAGCUGUCCCUAGUACGAGAGGACCGGGAUGGACGCACCUCUGGUGCACCAGUUGUCACGCCAGUGGCACGGCUGGGCAGCUAAGUGCGGACCGGAUAAACGCUGAAAGCAUCUAAGCGUGAAGCCGCCCUCAAGAUAAGAUAUCCCACUGAAUAAUCAGGUAAGACCCCUUGAAGACUACGAGGUAGAUAGGCCGUAGGUGUAAGCAUGGUGACAUGUUCAGCUGGACGGUACUAAUCGGUCGAGGGCUUGACC
rnacentral:rRNA from 1 species